UUUUUUGCUUUAAUUAUAUUGUGCAGUUAUUUGUUACCCUGAAAUGCUUUAUGCUUAACAACAGCUCACUAUUUUGACUUAUUUUUGAACUCUUGUGAUCAGUAUGACUAGAUUGUGUGAGUUUCCAUACUAAACGAGCUGUAGUGAUAAAAUAAUUGGCAUCAGAGACACUGAUUUUUGGCAUGGUAUACUGCAGAAGUUUUUUUUUUUUUUUUUGCAUAAUUUACCUUUUAAUUAAACUGCAUUCUCUGUAUUGUAACAAAACUAACAUUGUUUAUAUGUCAGAAAAUUAGCAAACAUGAAUAAAUGGCGAAAACAAUAUAAUUAUAACAUAUAUUUUUAUUUUACUUAUUUUAGGUCUGUGAAGCCAAACUUGAUGCUGGGGAUUUAUUUUUGUCAGUGGAGUCAAAUGGUUGAAGCAGAAUUUGCCCGUCUUACAUCUGUUGACCUGAAAGGGUUCCUUUUUGCUGUGCUUGACCAUUAUGGAGAGGUUCGUGGAGCUGUACAAAAUCAAGAGUGGCAUAGAAGGGCUAACUAGGCUCAUAAGAUGCUUCGGAGAUGAUAGCCCUACACAAAGGAAGAGGACAGAGGACCUCAUUUUCUAAAGGAAGAUCCCUCACACACUUUCAAGACUGUGAAGCCGACAGGUAUUGAAGACACGUUUUCUAAGAGGAUGAAAGUUGGCAUUGCGAUGGUGAAAGAAGAAGACAUCGAUGUGUUGGUUGUCCUUGAGGCGGCAGUAAUCCUGUCUAAUCUGAGGGAUGUCUCAAGUGCCAUUUCCAUGCUGAUGGGCCUUCUUUUUGCCCUCAACAUACACUAUCCAAAGGAACUUAAGGACAUCUUUGAAGUCAUUCAGAACAUCCUAAUGAACAUUGGUGGAAGGCAGUGCAUCUCACUAGUGCAUGGUCUAAGAAACAGACUCUUGCAGAAAGCCAUGCAGAACUGUAAUUGUAUGAUCCUUAGUGUUAAGGACAGUUUUUAUUUUACUGUUUGUUUUUU
ensembl:lncRNA